rnacentral:rRNA from 1 species
CCUACGGGAGGCAGCAGUGAGGAAUAUUGGUCAAUGGGCUUACGCCUGAACCAGCCAAGUCGCGUGAGGGAAGACUGCCCUAUGGGUUGUAAACCUCUUUUGUCAGGGAGCAACGCCGGCUACGUGUAGCCGGACUGAGAGUACCUGAAGAAAAAGUAUCGGCUAACUCCGUGCCAGCAGCCGCGGGAAUACGGAGGAUGCGAGCUUUAUCCGGAUUUAUUGGGUUUAAAGGGUGCGCAGGCGGCAUGCCAAGUCAGCGGUAAAAUCGCGGGGCUCAACCUCGCUCCGCCGUUGAAACUGGCGUUCUGGAGUGGGAGAGAAGUAUGCGGAAUGCGCGGUGUAGCGGUGAAAUGCAUAGAUAUCGCGCAGAACCCCGAUUGCGAAGGCAGCAUACCGGCGCCAAACUGACGCUGAAGCACGAAAGCGUGGGUAUCGAACAGGAUUAGAUACCCUGGUAGUC